rnacentral:rRNA from 1 species
UGGCGGACGGGUGAGUAACACGUGAGCAACCUACCUUCGAGAGGGGAAUAACGGCUGGAAACGGUCGCUAAUACCGCAUAACAUACCGGGAGGACAUCCUGCUGGUAUCAAAGAUUUUAUCGCUCGAAGAUGGGCUCGCGUCCGAUUAGGUAGUUGGUGAGGUAACGGCUCACCAAGCCGACGAUCGGUAGCCGGACUGAGAGGUUGAACGGCCACAUUGGGACUGAGACACGGCCCAGACUCCUACGGGAGGCAGCAG